AGGUGCCGCAUCACAUUUUCUAUGCCUAACUUUAUAUUAUAUAUAGAUUUUUUAUUGAACUUUUUUUUAAUUAUCCACAUAGAAGUACUUUUAUUAGAUUUUCUUUUAGAAAUUUAAUUAGAUUUUGAUUUAGUGUAGGGGCAAAAUGAUAAACUAACUUUGCAGAUAAGAGUUUUCCACUUUUAGUACAAUAUGAUUAAAGCUCGAAUCCUAAUAAAGAUAACACUAGGUGACAUCUUUCUAUGUGGCUCAACUUUAGUAGCAGAGUUACCCGAUGAUAGGUGGGAGAUAGUAGGUACCUAUUAGCCCGAGGGUUCAUAAUUUACCUGUUAAUUAGUUAACUAAAUCAGUACAGUCACUAAUUAUGCUUAAAAAUUUAGACUCUCUUCAAGUGAAAAGUACAAUGGUAACUGUCUUACUAAAUCCAUGCGUCUCAAUGCAUGUCCAGCCUAUGGAGCCACCGGACGGUGUCCAGAUGGCGUGUCUAGCUAACCACGAGAACCCUUAGCUGAGGCGAUCACCCUCUGUCAUAGGAAUUCCAGCUUAUCCCUCCUAUGCGAGCACUCUGGCAGGACCCGUGAAGAAAGCGGCAACCUCAAAUCACCAUCCUCACGAAUCAGUCAUAGCUCGAAUAACAGUCCAUAAUGGAAUGCCUGUAAUUGUAUUUAAUGCUAAGGACUAUUACGGAAUCACGGUGGCCACAUGUAUUCAAGGGUGUCAAUUGACACCCCUUCAUUGCAUUGGCGGCGGAGGGGAGGCUCACAAUUGUGGACAAAUUUCUUAUGUGUCCUCAAAUUAAAAAGAUUCCCAGUCCAGCAGUGUUUUGGUUAAUUUCAGCAUCAUAUAUCCAAGUUCUAGCUAUCUUUUGGUUGACUUCCAAAUGCAUACAGAAAGAGGCAAGUUGCUGAUUGUUAGUUUCACCAUCAACAAGUUGCCGCCUUAGAUCUGGUGGUAGAUGAAGAAGACGAACCUCUCCGGCAGAGAUCUGGUGUAGAUCCGACGUUAACGUAGCAAGAUCGGCGACCUAGGAUGAAGGAGACGACCCGCUAUAGCAAGAUCCGGUGCCGGCGUAGCAAGAGCGGCGACCUAGGAUGAAGGAGACCACCUGCUAACGCAUGUAAAAAAAAAUAUACAUGGGCUAAUCCGGGUAAAUAUUUUCUGCAAUUGUCAUACAGUGUUAUUAAUUUUCCACACGGCGUUAUUAAUUUAAGCAACUCGACACAUCUUGGCCUUUAUAUGAUUUUAGAUUCCAUGGAGAAACUCUCUAAAAUUUAUUGCAUUACUCCAACUUGAUUUUUCUUGAUUAUAGUGCCUCGUCUGGUUGUAUUGACUUAGACCAAAGUAUAAUUUGAUCCACGAAAUUCACAUUCCGUUAAAUGAGGCCUUUCUUUACUCUGUCAAGGCUGUAGCAGUGACCAAAGUAUACUUUGAUCCACGAAAUUCACGUUCCGUUAAAUGAGACCUUUCUUUACUUUCUUUACUCUGUCAAGGCUGUAGCAGUGAUUCUCAAGUUCUCCUAUUACAUCACUUAUUCAAGGUUCCACAAGACUAUUAUUAUCUGGUUCGUUGUCUUUACCCUUUGAAAAGUCUUGCGGGACACUAGAAAAUAUGCCUAUCAAGGUGCAAGACAGCAGAAGAGACUAUGAAAACCAUCACUGUCUUUGAAAUUUAUUAGAUGAGAAACUUUGCCACAUCUGUCAAAGUUCUGGAUUUGAGAAAAUUUUGUGCAGUGACAACUCACUUACUUUAAAGAGAUUUGACAGGAAACUGUAGCCUUUAAUUGGCUGUACAAUUUGUAGGUUAUGCUGUUUUUAAAGGCCCAAGUACCAAAUGGCCAUAUUCAUAAAUCAGCUGGGAAGUUUGUUAGAACCAGCUGUACAAGGAUUACAUGAACAAGAGUUGAACUAGCUAUAUAUAUGUGGAUAAUGAUAAUUCAUUUUGUAACAUUCUGUUACUUCCUGAAAUGAAAAAUGGGAAGCCUCUUUUUCUUUUAUUCAUUUCUCUACUUUGUCUUUGCUUCUUCUUUUGUGCAUCAUCUUUGCUCUCCCACUGAAGCCUUUGCUUUGCUUGAUCAAUUCAAGCAACCUCUUGAAGUAUUCGGCAGGUACUCUAGUUUUUGGUGUGAUACUUUCCCAAAAACAAUAUCCUAGAAUGAGAGUAGGAAUUGCUACAGUUGGGAUGGAGUCACUUGCGACAUGUUAACGGGAUAUGUUAUCAGCCUGUAUCUUAGUUGCAGUCAGCUUGGUGGAAGUAUUCAUUCCAACAACUGCCUCUUUCAACUUCAUCAUCUUCAGACACUAAAACUUGCUUCCAGUGACUAUUAUAUAUCCUUCUUUAAUUCCAAAUGAGAUAGGCUGCUUGACGAAAUCAGAUAUACGAAAAGAAUUUGUCACCUUUGUGUGUGCUAUUUAGACAUCAAAGCUAUGGAAGUGGCUGACCCCCGCUCCCAAUAGUCAUUGCCACUGAAAGUAGAUUUCCAACUGGUUUACAUUGGAAAUCGAAUUGGAAAGGUAUGAGAUUUCUGUUGGGAUUUUACCAUGAACAAAAGACUCGGAAAUUUUGAGAUCCCUCAAAUUCGUUAAUCGGCCAAUGCCAUUUGGAAUUGAAGAAUAAUUGAAGUGAUUGUAAGCAAGGUUGAGGGUCGGAAGAUGGUGAAGUUGAAAGAGGCUGCUGUUGGGAUGAAUACUUCCACCAAGUUGACUGCAACUAAGAUUUAGGCCGAUAACGUAUCCCAUUAACAUGUCACAGGUGACUCCAUCCCAAGUGCAGCAAUCUCUACUCUCAUUCUAGGACAUUAUUUUUGGGAAAGAAGUAUCACACCAAAAACUAGAGUACUUGUCGGAUACUUCAAAGGGUUGCUUGAACUGAAAUAAAAUAAAGGAUUCACUGGGAGAGCAAAGAUUGUGCACAAAGGAAGAAGAAAAGCUUUCACUUAGGAAGGCAAAGCAGAGAAUUCAAUAAAAGAAAAGGACGCCCCCCCUUUUUUUUUUUCUUUCCCCGUAUACAGCAAGUAGCAGAAUUGUCUUACAAAAUCAAUCAUCAUAUUCCAUAUAUAUAUAUAGUUAGUUGAACUCCUGAUUUAGAUCAUCAAAAUCUAAUUCCACCACCAGAGCGACUUGACUUCGUCAAUAUUUAAUGUUGCAGACGUCAUAACGCACGAUGUAAACAAAUUUUCAGAGCCGUAACUUCCAACAAAUUUCUGAGAUAGUGAUUGGCUGUCUCUUCUAUUGUCUUCCACAAGAGUUUUCAUAUUAAACAAGGGAGAUUCCAUCAAAUUUCCACUCUGAUCAUUCAAUUAUCUAAUUAGAUGAUUACAAAAACAAAUAAAGAAACGUUUACUUUAAGCUCCCUAUCAAUUAGAUUUCGACAAGUAUGCAAUGGUGUAUUAACAAUUUGAGACAAGGAAAGACUAACUUACGCAGAAAAGGGGGUUAAAAAUCUUAAUGAGGCCAAAGUUAUACUUUCAUGGAGUUGUUUACAGCAAGUUGAUGUCUGCUGUCUUCCAACUCAUAUUUUUCAAGUUUUUCACAACUUUUCAGUGGGAGAAGCUAUUGCUUGACUAAGUCAAGUGAGAUAAAAAAAAUGUACAAUCAAGACAUAAUUUAACUCCUCCAUUUCCUCUUA